UCAGUAACACGUAGUCAACAUGCCCAGGGGACGUGGAUAACCUCGGGAAACUGAGGAUAAACCGCGAUAGGCCAUGAUUUCUGGAAUGGUUCAUGGCCGAAAUCUAUAUGGCCCCUGGAUUGGACUGCGGCCGAUCAGGCUGUUGGUGAGGUAAUGGCCCACCAAACCUGUAACCGGUACGGGCUCUGAGAGGAGGAGCCCGGAGAUGGGCACUGAGACAAGGGCCCAGGCCCUAUGGGGCGCAGCAGGCGCGAAAUCUCUGCAAUAGGCGAAAGCUUGACAGGGUUACUCUGAGUGGUUCCCGUUAAGGGGAUCUUUUGGCACCUUUAAAAAUGGUGCAGAAUAAGGGGUGGGCAAG
rnacentral:rRNA from 1 species